AUUGAACGCUGGCGGCAGGCCUAACACAUGCAAGUCGAGCGGAGCGGCGGAGGGGAGAGUAAUGACUAGGAAUCUGCCUGGUAGUGGGGGACAACGACGGGAAACGGGAGCUAAUACCGCAUACUAUCAGAUGAGCCUAGGUCGGAUUAGCUAGUUGGUGGGGUAAAGGCCUCCCAAGGCGACGAUCCGUAACUGGUCUGAGAGGAGGAUCGGUCACACUGGAACUGAGACACGGUCCAGACUCCUACGGGAGGCAGCAGUGGGGAAUAUUGGACAAUGGGCGAAAGCCUGAUCCAGCCAUGCCGCGUGUGUGAAGAAGGUCUUCGGAUUGUAAAGCACUUUAAGUUGGGAGGCGUUACCAACAGAAUAAGCACCGGCUAACUUCGUGCCAGCAGCCGCGGUAAUAC
rnacentral:rRNA from 1 species